AGUGAACGCUGGCGGUAGGCCUAACACAUGCAAGUCGAACGGCAGCACAGUAAGAGCUUGCUCUUACGGGUGGCGAGUGGCGGACGGGUGAGGAAUACAUCGGAAUCUACUUUUUCGUGGGGGAUAACGUAGGGAAACUUACGCUAAUACCGCAUACGACCUACGGGUGAAAGCAGGGGAUCUUCGGACCUUGCGCGAUUGAAUGAGCCGAUGUCGGAUUAGCUAGUUGGCGGGGUAAAGGCCCACCAAGGCGACGAUCCGUAGCUCGUCUGAGAGGAUGAUCAGCCACACUGGAACUGAGACACGGUCCAGACUCCUACGGGAGGCAGCAGUGGGGAAUAUUGGACAAUGGGCGCAAGCCUGAUCCAGCCAUACCGCGUGGGUGAAGAAGGCCUUCGGGUUGUAAAGCCCUUUUGUUGGGAAAGAAAAGCAGCAGGUUAAUACCCCGCUGUUCUGACGGUACCCAAAGAAUAAGCACCGGCUAACUUCGU
rnacentral:rRNA from 1 species